AUCGCAAUCAUCAGACUUUAGCCAAACGUCCUGUAAUAUCUCUUGAGAUAGAACGAGACUGUCCAGAAAAGUUUUUUUUUUGUCAAAAUAUACAAAGCCUGACCCAUGCUUUAAUCUACACAUCGACGUUUGCCAGUGUUUUUUUUUUCCUCUAAUGUUUCCCAUUCUCCCGAAACCCCCUCUGUACUAUUUGCGUCAUUUUGACAGUCAAAAGACAGCCGAGGAAAGUCCGAGGGUGUUUUUGCACAAAUGUGCGGAGAGAUGGCCCACUUGGAGUGCAUAAACCUCCAGAAAAGCCAAGGGUAAAAGAAAUGUUGUCGUUCUGCGAGGUGUUGGGCCGGCAAAAAACUGACAACCGAGCACAUACAUCAGAAAUGGACCGCUGCUUUUUAUCCGUUUUCCAGUGAACUAAUUUUAGCAGCGGGAAAGAGUUUCUUCGAGGGAUUCCAUUUUAAUGAGUGCAAGCAUGCAGCUGCAUUUCAAAAGUCACAACAGGUGUCCAGAAAUCGUCCGUACAUUUCCUAGGACUCGCUUCUAUGCCUUUCUGUGCCUCUUCCAGGCUCGCUGUCGUCUCUGUAGCAUCUUGUUCGAGAACGGCAACAAAAUAAAAAAAUGCGCAGUCAAAAGUUUGGAGAAGAUUAGGUUCAUUGUAAAAAAAGAUAUUUCCUCUGAAGUUCAUCCAGAAAAUGUAACCGAUCAAUCUCUUCGUGGUGUAUUACAAUGUUAUCAACCCUUUAAAACAAAGAAAUGUUUUGUCAAAGGUGAAGGCGAUUUUUUUUUGUGUGUGUCUCCCAUUGAAAUCUCAAGCACUGCUAUAACUCAAACUGUUCCAAAUAAAACUCUCUCCUGUC